rnacentral:lncRNA from 1 species
CAAUGUUUCCAACGUGAACACCAGCGACCUACCAAAACGGAAUAUGACUGACUUGAAACGGGAACGCUUACCAACACGGAACGUAUCACAUAAUAAAACCAAAUGAGAUCACUGACUAGCACCAAAUGGGAGCGCCUGACACUGAAACUGCAGAAAAAGAGGAAAAAAUCAUUUCCAUGACCCGCACAAGAACACAUAGUGACCUCAAACGGGACAUCCACCCCGAAGGGAACGCAGUGACACUAAACGGGACAACCGUCCUGACACCAAGUCGUGCUGGCGCUAACUGGACUGAUACUUACUCGGAUUGAUACCAACUCCCAACUUAAAUUGACAGUAACUCGACUGACACCAACUCGAACUGACACCAACUCGAACUGACACCAACUCGAACUGACACCAACUCGACUGAUCCUAACUCCACUGACACCAACUCGAACUGACACCAACUUGAAAUGACACCAACUCGAUUGACACCAACUCGAUUGAUACUAACUCGAGAUGACACCAACUCGAACUGACGCCAACUCGGACUGAUACCAACUCGUGCUAGUAUAAACUCCCACUCGCGCUGGCACCAAGGUUCCCAUGCGGUGUAAGUCUGCGGUUAGUGGAGUAGUUGGUAAUGAUCCGUUUGGUGCUGUAAGAAAUCCCGUUUGGUGUCGUAUGGACCGUCUUGUGCGGUAAAAAAUCCCGUUUGGUGCCGUAUGCACCGUCUUGUGCGGUAAAAAAUCCCGUUUGGUGCCGUAUGCGCCGUCUUGUGCUGUAAAAAAUCCCGUUUGGUGCCGUAUGCGCCGUCUGGUGCUGUAACAGCCAUCAACACGAUAACGAUCUCGUCUCGUGUUAUGUCAAUAUGCGUACCCAUUUGGUGCUGGUAGAUGAUCCCAUUUUGUAAGAGUUCCCAAAAAUCCAGAAGAGCUAGCAAUUUAUUUGAUUAAGCUACAAGUAACAAAAGACGACGCCAAGAGAAAUAUAGCCUAAAAUAUAGCCCUAGAUACUCCAUCCCUUCUUAGGGCCAAUACCUCACAUGGCUAUAUCACGUGCUAUAACUCGUAGGAGUCCGUGCGGGAGAAAUCAGCAGGGAUCUUUUUUUCCGCUUUAAGGGUAGUGUACAUAGUCUUGGCGCUGGAGUGUACACAAGGUUCAGUUUU